rnacentral:rRNA from 1 species
AUGUGCAAGUUAGUUUUGCACGUAAAGCAAAAACUUGAUGAACUUGACAAUCUUCUUAAUGCUGAUUCAACAAUUUUCAGUAAUACUAGAUGGAAGCUUGUUCUUAGUGACGGAUUUAGAAAAUCUUUCAUUGAACUAAAAUCACCACAGCUCAACAGAGAAGUACUCCAGAAACUUUUCAAACUUGGUGGUGGUUGGAGGACAACAGCCAAGAAUUCUGAUAUAUGUGAUACUUUCCAGCUUGCAAAAGUAUACAAAGUCAGGGAUUUUUAUCUUAUUUGGAACACUGACAUGGAGAAAAAAGAAAGAAGGUUUUUCCAGAUAAUAAGAAUUUGGGGCAUACUGUCCCACAAACAUGUUGCAAGAACUGUUCAGCGUCUCGAAAACCUGUUUUCCAUGUACACAGAUGAUUACUUGGAUCAUUGCAGAAGAGUGCAGACAGAGGGGAAACUAGAAGUUCCUGUGAUUUGGGAUCUUGACCAUGAUAUUAUUCGCUAUAAGGAUCGCGUAACUGAAGCCCAGGAAGAUCAUGAUCUCAUGGAUACGUCAUGUCUUAUGGAGAAUUUAGAAGUUAGUGAAAGCUUCUUGCUGAUGAAUUUCUACUCUUUAUCAUCUGGAGUGGCAAAACAUUUGCUUACAUCUACUGAUGGAUCUGAAAUUGAUAUUUCCUUCGAACUGACUGAUGAAGAAAACGUGAUAAUCCGAUUCCCUCACACUAGUUUCACACUAGGGAGGUCAGGAACGGGGAAACCCACUGUAUUGACAAUGAAACUACUUCAAAUAGAGCAAAUGUCAUUGAUUUCAUCCCGAGGGCUUAAUUUGGACGAAGUUGCUUUACUUGGGGCUUACCAGAAAAAUUGUAUGACACCGAAUGAAACAAGAAAGGAGGAAAGUUUUAUAAAACAAGUAUUUAUCAUUGUUAGCCCAAAGUUAUGUUCGGCUAUAAAGAAUGAAAUUUGCAGGCUUAAAAGAUUUGUCUUUGGUGAUGCACCUGAUCAGCGUAGCACUGAUAUGCAUGAUGUCAGUGAUGAUAUGGAACAAUUGACAGCAAUUCCUGACAAUUUUAGUGAUCUACCUCAUGAGCACUACCCCCUUGCUAUAACAUAUCGCAAGUUCUUGAUGAUGCUUGAUGGCACAUGUCAAACAUCAUUUUUUGAUAUUUUUUAUGGCGAACUGAAGUCUAGCACUGAGAUAGGGUAUUCAAAAUAUUGUGCAUUGCGAACUUUUAUUAAACAUAAGGAAGUUACUUAUGAGAAAUUCGAUGCUUCCUACUGGCCUCAUUUUAACGCAGACCAGAUCAAGAAACUUGAUGCAUCCACUCUCUUUACUGAAAUAAUUUCUCAUAUAAAGGGUGGAUAUCAACUAGCACAGGCAAACUUCAAAGAUUAG